rnacentral:rRNA from 1 species
GACGAACGCUGGCGGCGUGCUUAACACAUGCAAGUCGAACGGUGAAGCGCCUUCCUUUUUGGUGGGUGUGGAUGAGUGGCGAACGGGUGAGUAACACGUGAGUAACCUGCCCCCUUCUUCUGGAUAACCGCAUGAAAGUGUGGCUAAUACGGGAUAUUCUGGGUCUGUCGCAUGAUGGGUCUGGGAAAGAUAUUGUUUCGGUGGGGGAUGGGCUCGCGGCCUAUCAGCUUGUUGGUGGGGUGAUGGCCUACCAAGGCGGUGACGGGUAGCCGGCCUGAGAGGGUGGACGGUCACACUGGGACUGAGACACGGCCCAGACUCCUACGGGGGGCAGCAGUGGGGAAUAUUGCACAAUGGGCGCAAGCCUGGUGCAGCGACGCCGCGUGAGGGAUGGCGGCCUUCGGGUUGUGAACCUCUUUCGCCAGUGAAGCAGGCCUGCCUCGUUUGUGGGUGGGUUGACGGUAGCUGGAUAAGAAGCGCCGGCUAACUACGUG